rnacentral:rRNA from 1 species
AGAGUUUGAUCCUGGCUCAGGACGAACGCUGGCGGCGUGCUUAACACAUGCAAGUCGAACGGUAAGGCCUUUCGGGGUACACGAGUGGCGAACGGGUGAGUAACACGUGGGUGACCUGCCCCCUACUCUGGGAUAAGCUUGGGAAACUGGGUCUAAUACCGGAUAGGACUCGCGGCCGCAUGGUUGUGGGUGGAAAGUUUUUUCGGUGGGGGAUGGGCCCGCGGCCUAUCAGCUUGUUGGUGGGGUGAUGGCCUACCAAGGCGACGACGGGUAGCCGGCCUGAGAGGGCGACCGGCCACACUGGGACUGAGACACGGCCCAGACUCCUACGGGAGGCAGCAGUGGGGAAUAUUGCGCAAUGGGCGGAAGCCUGACGCAGCGACGCCGCGUGGGGGAUGACGGCCUUCGGGUUGUAAACCUCUUUCGACCUUGACGAAGCCUCUUUGGGG